rnacentral:misc_RNA from 1 species
GAUGAAGAACGUAGCGAAAUGCGAUAAGUAAUGCGAAUUGCAGAAUUUCCGUGAGUCAUCGAAUCUUUGAACGCACAUCGCGCCCACUGGUAUUCCGGUGGGCAUGCCUGUUCGAGCGUCAUUAUCCUCCCUCAAACCCCGGGUUUGGUGUUGGACCCAAGUUGUGUGAACAACUGGUCUCAAAGACAAUGACGGCGUCCGUGGGACCCUCGGUGCAACGAGCUUUUAGGAGCACGCGCCGAGUUGCAAGGACCUUCCGGGCCGGUCUCCUUUACUAUUUUACAAGGUUGACCUCGGAUCAGGUAGGAAUACCCGCUGAACUUAAGCAUAUCAAUAAGCGGAGGA